CCUACGGGAGGCAGCAGUGGGGAAUAUUGGGCAAUGGGCGCAAGCCUGACCCAGCAACGCCGCGUGAAGGAAGAAGGCUUUCGGGUUGUAAACUUCGUUUCUCAGGGACGAAGAAAGUGACGGUACCUGAGGAAUAAGCCACGGCUAACUACGUGCCAGCAGCCGCGGUAAUACGUAGGUGGCAAGCGUUAUCCGGAUUUACUGGGGGUAAAGGGCGGGUAGGGGGGACUGCAAGUCAGAUGGGAAAACCAAGGGCUCAACCUGUGGCCUGCUUUUGAAACGGUAGUUCUUGAGUACUGGAUAGGCAGCCGGAAUUCCUAGUGUAGCGGUGAAAUGCGUAGAUAUUAGGAGGCACCCCAGUGGCGAAGGCGGUCUGCUGGACUGCACCUGACGCUGAGGCGCGAAAGCGUGGGGAGCAAACAGGAUUAGAUACCCCUGUAGUC
rnacentral:rRNA from 1 species